UGGGGUAUAGCUCAGGGGUAGAGGGUUCAACUGCAGAUCAAGAGGUCCCUAGUUCAAAUCUGGGUGCCCCCU
rnacentral:tRNA from 1 species